rnacentral:rRNA from 1 species
UACAGAGGGGGCAAGCGUUAUUCGGAAUUAUUGGGCGUAAAGGGCGCGUAGGCGGUUUUUUAAGUCGGAUGUGCAAUCCCCAGGCUCAACCUGGGAACUGCAUCCGAGACUGGAAGGCUAGAGUACUGGAGAGGGUGGUGGAAUUCCUCGUGUAGCGGUGAAAUGCGUAGAGAUGAGGAGGAACACCAGUGGCGAAGGCGGCCACCUGGACAGUAACUGACGCUGAGGCGCGAAAGCGUGGGUAGCAAACAGG